rnacentral:tRNA from 1 species
UGGCUGAGAGGUAAAGCGGUUGACUUCCGAACAGAGGGUCCCGGGUUCGAGUCCUGG